ACAGCAGUACAAAGCUGUACAAAAAGCAGUAUAUAUUAUGAUAACUGCUCGAAUUGUUUCUUCAGUCCAAUUCAGAUUUUCUUCCUCUUUUUUUAAAGUUUCUCUAUUUCUGCCUCCCAAAAACGAUUUUCGUUCUCUUUUGUUUCUUUAUCUGUGUCUCUCUGUAUUUGCUUGAUUUGCGUGUUUUCCCGUUUCGUUUUAUGUGUUAAUGCUUGAUUUGAUUAUGUGUCUAUGUAUUUGUUUCUGUAAAAUUUAGCUUUGCGUUUUGGGUGUCCUCAAAAUCCGACAAUGCAGAUCGAAUGGUUCAAAUAGAGAUUCCGACAUUGAUUUUCAUCCUAGGGCCGAUGAGCAAUUCUUUUUUAAUACUGGAGGAUCUUGUGCUCCUUUUUGGGAAAUAGGGGAAUAUUUCAGGUAUUUGCUAAACUUGCUAAGUGCUAACAAAACUGGUACAUGAAUCAUGAUAUAGAGGAUUAUCCAGUUUUAAUUCCCUCGGUUACUUAUAAUGGGACUUUGGUCGGUAUAUGUUAGUUUUUCUAUUCUAUUGGAUAAUUCAUGUCAGUAGUUAUCGCUAAUUUAUAAAUGCAUGCUUGGAAAUUAAACCUACAUUCAUGAUUUUGGAUAUUUGGUUGAUACAAAUAUGAAUUGUUUUGGGGUAACCAAACUUAAUUUCUUUUUCCUUCCUCCUUUGUUAUGAAGUAUGUUCCCAUUUCUUGGUAUUGCAAUCAAAAGGUAAAGCACUUGGGAAAAGAACCUACACAUUAUCAAGAAAUUAAUGUGCUUAGGUUCCAUUAAAAAUAAGUUUUAUAAAAUAGUUGUGGAAGCAACUAGCACAUGGUGCUAGAUCUUGUUUGGAGUGUGACUGUGAAUAUUUGAGUUUGAUGGGCCAUUUCAGAUUGAAAAGUAUGAAGCAACAUAUGUUGCGUGCACCCUGUUUGAUGAUAUCCCUAAAAUGACCGAAUAGUUUUUAUUUAUUUAUCAGUUUUUCUAUAACAUGUCAUCUAUUAUUCAGGAAUGCAAAACAUACAUUAUAGGAGUAUACUUCUACUUGACAGAAUUGGGGAAUAAUAUUUGUUAUAUUUGUAUUGUGUAUAAGAAACAUGUUGAAAUGUACCCUAUUUGCUUGCAUGUGUUUUCUAUUGCACUAUUGCUACUUUUGUCUAAUUUUGUGUUAACAAGAAAAAUGAAGUAGUGCUCACCCGAAGGGCAGAGGUUGUAGCGGCUGCGGGUUUCCCUUCUUACCCAAAAAAAAAAAGAAAAAUGAAGUAUGACUUUUAGUUAUUCAAUAUAUCUCGAUUUGUUUCCAUGUAUAUUUGAACUGCUGGCUGACUAAGGUUAGAAAGCCUAGAAAGUGGAAUAAAAAUGGUACAAAAAUCCUUAGGAUUACUGCCAUUAGACUCCCUUAUGGAUUGUGAGGUUGACCAUAAUCUUCAAGGAAUAUAAGAAAUGUUAACAGAACGCUGACAUACAUAAAUUAUAAGGUAUCUGGCUUGGUUUUAAGAUUGAGUCCUGUUGUGGGAGGAGGCUUGCAAAAUAUUGGGACUUCUAUUACAGCAACUCUAUCUGAUAUUAAUUGGCACAACAGUUAGAUCGCCAACCUUAACAUAUUGGGAAGUGGUAAGGAUUUGUAACUAAUUGUUAGUUGAUAAGAGAUUCUACCAUAUGUACUGUUAAUCAUGUUGCAAGAAUAUUGAGAAAAGGCAACCAUUGAGACUAAAUCAAGAACUAUGGUCCUCUGGCUCUUAAUACACAUAAGCUCGGCAUGGAUAGAAGUGGUCGGGAUCACAGCUAUUGCCUGUCUUGCUUGGUGCAACUUGUGCAUGGUAUAGAUUUUGCAUACAGUAGGAAUAUGAAGAACAUGGAGAAUAUCAUUAAAAAACCAUAAGAGACAUCAACGUGUAAUCAAGUAAUAUAUGAGCUUUAGGUUACUCCGGAAAAAGUCCAUUAUUGUGCUCGACUAAUGAAUGAUAUACACAAGUGAUGAUUUUGCAUUAUGAGUCUGGAAAAGACAUUGCUAUUUCGCUGCUAUAUCGUAGCAUUAGAAAGGUCAUGAAGUUACUAAACAUGUAUAUAAUGAAUAUACAACUAAAUUCACUCUUCUCCAUAGCCGAGGAAGCAUUGGCCAUAUUGGUGCCCUUAAAUACAGAGGCGGAGCCAGGAUUUGAAGCCUAUGGGUUCGGGAUUUUAAUCAUGUUUAAGUUACUAGGUUCUAAAUUAAUAAUUUGUACAUGUUUAAUGAAUUUCAUCAAACAAAUACAGAGUUUGAACCAAAGCUACUGGGUUCGGCUGAACCCGUAACUCGCUCUCUAGCUCCGCUCCUGCAUAGAUACCUUGUUAUGCUGUCCUAGCCAUCUCGUUCUUGUUUUGCAUGUGUUCAUACAGAUAAAGGUUACUUUACCCUAAAAAGAAAUUAAUGAUAGCCAUUUUUGGUACUUCUUUGUUAUUCUUACCGGUGAGAAUCUGAAUUAAGUGUUCUGUCUUUCCAUCCUUUGUAGCCAUAGGAAUGCAAUAGCAAUUUUGUCGUAUGAGUUUGGUUCAAAUGGAUACCUAUUAUCCCUUUACAGGUAAAGCUGUAAAUAUUUAACACCUCUUAUCAAAUGCAAAGAUCUUGUAACCUUUCUUACUCUGUAUAAGGUAAAUACUUAGCUUUUGGGUGGCAUCCUUUUGAAAAGACAUGUUCUAGCUAUUUUUACACGUGGUCUUUGAGUCCUCCAACAAUAAUCAGUUGCACAAUCUAUUAUAAAGAUCUAGCAGUGUACAACAUGAUGUCCUCUUCUAAUAAAUUCUCUUUUGUGA